CAUAUCACCGACUCUACAUGUCUCAACUCAAGACCCUCUUCUUCCAUGCGUCCGUUUCACCUCCAACUUCUCUCUAUCGUAACGAUAGAGUCUAAAAGCAAUAGAUUUGAGUGAAGCUUUGGGUCUUUAUCGUCGUCGGCAACAAACGGUGGGCGUUCAUGUAUUGAAGCUUGCUUGUAUACUCAUUGUCUUUUUAGUUGUAGAAUAAGCUUGAUCCUAAUUAAAGUUGACAAGUGAAGAAGCAUCUGAAAGAAAGUAAGAUACUUAUUGAGUAAGUUUUGGAUUUAAUAUAUUUAUAUUUUAUUUACCGAGAUACCAGAAAAGCAUUUAUUAAAGUUCAACGAAGUAACUCAUGAAAUAAUUCAAAGAAUAUCCUGUCAUUCUUGCAAGAAAUAUUGGGGGUUCAACUAUAAUGGUAAGCUAAAAUAAACAAUAAUCCAUCUUAUACAAAGUUACAGUGUAAUUUUGUAAUCUCUUGUACUUAAUUAAUGUAGAUACAUCAUUGACUACAAGGUUCAAAACGUCAAUACAGAUUGACCCACCUUAUCCACAAUGUAGCAACUACAUGUAAGGUAUAACACUACUCCCUGCUCCUACAUAUAUUGUGUUUGUUUCUUUCUUAUUAUUAAUCUUCAAAAGUUUAGUGUUUUCUACCAUGGACAAGAUCAUGGAAGACGGAGAAAUGCUUGUCUCUUUCACCAUGAGUAGUGCAUCAAAAUUCGAAUCUCUCAUCCUUGUUCCCGUGGAUGAAGACAUAAUACUAAAUUUUUACCAGAAUCUUCUGUUCUUAUCAACAUAGUGUUUUAGUCAUACACUGUUACAGGUUUGAUCUUGAUUUUCAAGAUGCCUCCGGCUCAAUAAUUGAGAUAAUUGUGAGAGAAUAAGGAGAAAAAUACUACUCUAUCCCAUACUGUAGAGGAAAUUUACAAGGUAAAGCAAGCCCUACUGCAGCUCACCCUCGGCUUUUUGUUAGCCGCUCGUGUCUUUUUUCAAUAUGAAGCAACAACUGUUCACGAGCUGCUGGCACUGCGACAUGGUCCCGGAAAAAAACUGCUUCCUUUUGGAUAAUUUCACUUGCGUCCCUGCCACCGUAUAUAGAAUCACUUGUCGUGUACAUGUCUGCACUGCUUUACUCAUCUUCAGUGCUGAUUGAUAAACAUCAGAAGCUAUUCGAGAAAAAGAAUCACAAAUAAUCAAGAUUGUUAAUGUAAAUCCUAGGGAGCCCGAUAAUGCGGCAUAGCUUCAGGCAAGGACACAUGGUGGAACAUCUUUUGUCCAAGGAUGGAUCCAAAUAGACCAACCCUAAUGUCGUUGUUCGUCAUCCAGUUUCCUCCAUCUGUUAGUUCAGUUGUUUUAGCAGUUUAAGAAGAGGUAAUUUUUUUGUUAGACUUGAUAAUUUAGCUACCCUUAAUGUUAUAAGGAAUAUUUUGUAAUGACUAUUAAUUUUUUGUUAUGAUAA